AAGGGUAUAGCUUAGUGGUAAAGCACUUGCUUAACAUGCACAAGGUCCUGGGUUCAAUCCCCAGUACCUCCA
rnacentral:tRNA from 1 species